ACCAGCUCAGCAUCUCUGCUCAUGCGCCUAAUUUCCACUUAGGAGAUUCUGAACUGCCAGAAGUUGGUA
rnacentral:tRNA from 2 species